CUUGGAUAUAGAAAGCUCGUGUUUUCGGAGCCAUUCAUGUAAUCCUUCAGAAGCUGAGGAUGAUACUCUAAUAUCUCACGGAAUAUAAGUUCCUUGAUAUCAUCUUUGGUAACCUUUCUUCGCUCAAACUCAAACUCCAUUUUUGAAAUUGGUUGGCAUGAUGGUUCUCUCUCCACUUUUGCAAGGCCUUUAAAAUAUGGAUCAGCCAAUGCCUCUUCUGCAGUAGGUCGAUCCUUCGGAUCAAAUGCUAGAAGCCUUUGUAAGAGCUUGAGUGCCAAAGGAUCUACAUUUGGGAACUUUUCUGAAAAAGGUACUGGCUGCUUCCUCCUCAUGCUGCUCAGAUACCUCCUUGCCUUGUCAUUCCGAAUCUGAAGCACAUCCAUUGAUGGUGUACCCAAGAGAUCAGUCAUCAAGUCCAAUUGAUGAACCACAUUUUUACCAGGGAACAAAGGUUUUCCAGUCAAAAUCUCCGCAAAAAUGCAACCAAUACUCCAUGUUGGGAAAUUUGAUUAUACCUUAGAAAAGAAAGACCCACACAGCUCAGGAGCCCUGUACCAUCUAGUUGCAACGUAGUCCUGUUGCAUGAAAACUGUUGUAGGAGUGUCAUUAAAUGCAACUCUUGCUAGUCCAAAAUCACAUAUCUUGAGCUUACAGUUAGCAUUUGCUAAUAUAUUUUUGGGCUUUAAAUCACGAUGAUAAACAUUAGCAGUAUGGAUAUAUUUCAAUGCUCGAAGCAUUUGAUACAGAAAGAACUGAUGAUGUUCCUUCGUUAAGUCAUCAUUAGCCUUAAUAACCUGGUGGAGGUCUGUAUCCAUCAGUUCGAAGACAACAUAAAUAUCUUUGAAGUCCCUUCUAGAUGGAGGUAACAUUAUAUGUUUGAUCUCGACAAUAUCAGGAUGCCGUAAAAGCCGGAGAAGUUUGAUCUCACGGAGGAUCCUAGCAGCAUCAGAUAGAUGCUCAAAGAUAUUGUGUAUUUUCUUGAUUGCUACUUUGUCACCGGUAUGUUGGUCAAUAGCUGAACAAACAACUCCAUAACUUCCUUUACCAACGAUUUCUUGAAUUUUGUAUCGGCUGGAGUCACCAUAUUCACUGAAGAAAUCCAUCUCUGUUG
rnacentral:sRNA from 1 species